rnacentral:lncRNA from 1 species
GGAUGGAUGCCAUAUAAUAGGUGAUUCCUUAUGGGGAUCUUCUAAUGUUGGUGUCGGGGUUAGAGGCUUUGGAGGUGAUGAGUGAACUGGAGGUGGCGGAGAACUUAUUGGUGGUGGAUAGACUGAUGGCGGUGGGGAGUAAAUGGAAGGUGGUGGAGAUGGAUGCCUUACAAUAAUAGGUGAUUCUCUAUGAGGAUCAUCUGGUGUUGGUGCCGGGGCUAGAGGCGUUGGUGGGUGCGAGUGAACUGGAGGUGGCGGAGAACUUAUUAGUGGUGGUGGUGGUGAAGAAUAGACCGGUGGCGGUGGAGAGUGGACUGGAGGUGGUGGUGAUUGUAUCGGAAGAGGUGGGGAUCGAUGCCAUAUAAUGGGUGAUUCUCUAUGGGGAUCUUCUGGUGUUGAUGCCGGGGCCAGAGGCUUUG